rnacentral:rRNA from 1 species
AUUGAACGCUGGCGGCAGGCCUAACACAUGCAAGUCGAGCGGAUGAAGGGAGCUUGCUCCUGGAUUCAGCGGCGGACGGGUGAGUAAUGCCUAGGAAUCUGCCUGGUAGUGGGGGAUAACGUCCGGAAACGGGCGCUAAUACCGCAUACGUCCUGAGGGAGAAAGUGGGGGAUCUUCGGACCUCACGCUAUCAGAUGAGCCUAGGUCGGAUUAGCUAGUUGGUGGGGUAAAGGCCUACCAAGGCGACGAUCCGUAACUGGUCUGAGAGGAUGAUCAGUCACCCUGGAACUGAGACACGGUCCAGACUCCUACGGGAGGCCGCAGUGGGGAAUAUUGGACAAUGGGCGAAAGCCUGAUCCAGCCAUGCCGCGUGUGUGAAGAAGGUCUUCGGAUUGUAAAGCACUUUAAGUUGGGAGGAAGGGCAGUAAGUUAAUACCUUGCUGUUUUGACGUUACCAACAGAAUAAGCACCGGCUAACUUCGUG